GUCACCUUUUGUAUUUGUAUCUGCAAAGCUUUCCCCAGUAAAUAGCACAUAGUAAAUACUCAAUAAAUCAUUACGAAAAGCAGUACUUAAUUAAUUCACUCAAUUUUCUUCAGCCUUGUAUAUCUUUAGUUAGGGUAACAAUUAGCCUGACACAGUUGGAUGCCCCAUGGCCUUAUUCUAACUUUCACUGCAAAUUUAUAUAGAGACUUGAAAAGUAAUAGGGUAUAAAGGAGUUCAUAGGGAUGGGCAAGCAUGGAAGGACACAGCCAUUUGGGAAAAAGAUGAUGAAUGAUGGAACUCUUUGCUUCCCAUUCACAGAUUUGUCUCUCAUUUAAAUUGAUACUGAUUGAAAACCACAGUGAUGCUUACUUAAUAUUUAUGUGGUGAUGUCUGUGUUAAGGGCCCUGAUUCAUAAAUAAGUUUUCCCAUAGAUAGUAAAACCCUAGUCAAUCUCCAAAAGCUUGAAAUUGAAAAAGAUAUUUUCUUUUAUUGAACAGAGUGAAAAAUUGAGGAUGAGGUCCAGUGUUCACCAUGUGGAAGAAAAGAUAUGGCAUUCAGAAAAGAGUCAUCCAAGUACAGUGGCAAGACAAAAGUCAGAUUGAAAGGAACGCAGCGGAUGACAUUGGCGUCUUCCAUGUCUGACCGAGCUCUAAGUGUUCCACGGUGCCUGCUUCAGUGUCCUGCUGCCUUCAGAAAACUCUGGAAAGACACGAACUGAUGCAAAGUCAAAUAAGCAGAACCAGAACAUUGUAUGAUGAACAGUUGUGAAUGAUCUAGUUAUUCUCAACAAUACAGUGAUCCAGGACAAUUCCAGCCAUUUCAUGAAGAAAAAUGCCAUCUGCCCUCUGAGAAAGAACUGGAGUCUGAAUGCAGACUUAAGCAUACUGUAUUUACUCUUCUUUCUUCUUUUUAUAUUUGAGAAUUCCACAAAAUGCCUGAAAUGAGAAAAUGUUUUACAUGAUUACACAUGUAAAAUUCCCUAUCAGAUUGCUUGCCAUCUCAGGGAGAAGGGGAAAGCAAGGAGGCAGAGAGAGAAGGAGAGUCAGAAGGGAGAGAAUUUGGAACUCAAACUUUAAAAAAAUGAAUGUUGAAAAUAGUUUUUAUAUGUAACAGGGGAGAAAAUAAAAUGUUAUUAAAAAAUAAAAAAACAAACCCAAAAACCAAAUGGCUUUCCUUUCCAUCCUUUCUUCAUUGAUUCCCACUGUCCUUGUUCUGAUACAGGAACUUAAGACCUCCAGUCUGGUUGCUUACACAGGUAUCUUCUCUGGUAUCUGAGAGGACAAGUUCUUUUGAUCUAUACUCUUCUGGCACUUAAAUGUUACCUAAAUAUCACUUUCACCAUGUUAAUACCUCGCUUAAACACCAUCAGUAGCUCUCAAGUUCUUAGCACAACCAAUCACAAAAACUCAUCAAUCUGAAUUUGAAAGUCUUACAAAUUAUUGGAUCACAA